AGCCGAACUUGAAAUCCCAACUGAAAAACCUAUAAAUCCGAAAUUAAGAUGUCGAAUAACACCACUACCCAGUCCGCACUAAACCCCGACCCAAUUAAAGAUAUUUUAACCUCAAUAUUCAUCUGCAUUGUAAUGUUGGCGGCGAUUAUCGGAAACUCCCUGGUCAUAUUUUGUGUUUGCUAUUACCCUCGUUUACGUGGUCGGACCAAUUAUCUCAUCGUUUCCUAGCCGUCGCUGAUUGGCUGGUUGGAACGCUUUCGCUUCCGCUCCGCCUUGCGCAAACCGUCAACCAUGACGAAUGGCCCUUUGAUCACUAUGGAUGCCAAUUUUGGAUUUCGGUAGACAUGCUAUGCUCCGCUGCAUCUAUUUUGAGUCUCAUGGGAAUUUCAUUUGAUCGACUCAUAGCCGUGGUGGAUCCCUUGAAGUACGAAGAGCACAUGCGUCCGCGUCACGUGUAUUUGAUGAUCGGCAUCACCUGGUCCUUUGCAAUAAUUUGCGCAGGCCUGAGUAUGGCAAAUUGGACAGAAAGCUCUGUGAUCCGUUUCGAGCCUCAAUGCGCUUUAAUCUCUAAAGAGUAUAUAACCUUUGUAUCGAUUGCUGCAUUUUUUGUUCCACUCGCAAUUGUGUUCGUCAAUUACGGCAUCAUUUUCCGAAUUGCCAUGCGACAUGCAUACCGACUUCAGAAAGAAACCCGUUCUCUCGCAACGAAUUAUUGCGCCGAUGUAUCAACAACGACCGACACCAAUCCCAACCCCGACACUCGAACAGAUGAAAGCCGCAAAAGCUUCCUGAAGCGACCUAUAUUUUCCUUUAGAAAAGACCCUCGCAAAUCAGUCCAGCGUUCGGCGACAUUCUCUCUGGUAAAACAACUAAAAGCCACCAAAACUUUAGUCGUAGUUAUUGGUGUCUUUUGUAUAUGUUGGUUCCCGUUCUUUGUCAUUUUUCUAACUUUCCAAUAUUGUGGUGACGCCUGCUUCGUUCCUCCACGAAUGAGUAAAAGUGCCAGAAAUGUAGUUAUAACUAUUUUUGUGAAUAUACUACCCGUCGUGAACAGCGCUGCAAACCCGAUAAUAUAUUCUUGUUUUAAUUCGGAGUUUCGCAAAGCAUUCAAGAGAAUUUUGGCAAAGGUUUUGAAAAGAGAGCAAUCUUUCGAUAACAUGAAUACGUCGUUUACAGCUGUACCCACCACCUUUCAGAAAGAGUUUGAAUGCUCUAGUGCAUAGAAUCAAUAGAAUGGCCUGUGUUUCGCAAGGUUUUCAAGAGAAUUUGGCGAAGGUUUUGAACAGGAAGCAAACUUCAUAUACGGCUGAACACUUCAUCUUUCUGAAAGAAUUUGAAUGUUUUAGACCUAGUACAUAGAACAUAUAGAAUUAUAUAUAUUUGUGUUUUACACUAGUAAACUGAGUCUCGCAAAGCGUCCAAGAGAAUUUUAAUAAACGUCUUUGGAUAUAACACCAUUUGCAAGGUGUUAAAUAUAAUAAUUCACAGCUGAUCCCACCACCUCCAGAAAGAGUUUGGUUGCUCUGUUACAAAGAAAUGACAAUACACUAACAUACUAGUAAUAAAAUAUAUCGAACAAAAUUCCAUCCAUAUAUUUAUGUUUUAAAAAGGAGUUUCAUAUGGCUUUCAAAAGGGUCAUCAUUUACACAUCGUUUACAACUGUAGGCUAUUCUGGGACGGUAACUCGCCUAAACUCACCGCGAGAUGAUGCGAGUUUAGGCGAUUUAAGAGAACUUUGGCUUUGGUCAAUUUCAUUAUCCCUUUAGGAUAUGCGGCAAUAAAUAUUAACUUUGUCUUAUUUGAAAGAAAUUUUAAUGUUAUAUAUGAAGACCCUUUACAACUUUUUCGUACCUUGUUUGGUUUUCGAAAUAUUUUGACCAAAAACAGUGUGCAGUUCACCAUCUUGGUAUUAUAAUUGACCUAAUUAACUGAGUUUUUGAUGACGUCACAAGCAGGAUAAACUUGUUAAAACUUCUUUAUGUGGGACUAAACUUCUUAAAAUUGAGUACGGAAAAUCGAGGUUCAUAUUGAUAAUGAGAUGUGGUUUGCAAGAUAAAACUUUCGCUUUUUACCCUACUUGUGACGUAUGCAUAUCGAAUGCAUAUCCAAGAUGGCGGAAUGCACGCUGCUUUUGAUCAAAAUAAGUCGAUCUAUUUAGAAAACCAAGCAAGAUACGGAAUAAUUGUAAAUGAAGUUUAUAUAUCAUUUUAAAUGUUAAUGUCUUUCAAAUAAGACAAACUUUAUAAUUUGUAUUGCCAUAAACCUUUAAGCAGCGAUUUAAGGCGAGUUAAGGUCCCAUGCAGAGUAGGUCCGCUGUAACCUCUACCUUAAGUAUUCUAUCACAUAUAGAAGGGUAAGGUGAAUAUAUACCAACCGAACAUGAACAUGUUUUUGAUUAGCUUGCUUAAUUAACAAAAGUCAUCAAUGUUUUGCAUUUGUUUAAUUAACAACCAAAAGUGUCAGUGUUUCUGAUUUGUUCUUUAGAAAUUGUAUUCCUCUGUUUUAUUGUAUUCCAUUGUUGUAAUCAACCAAUUACAGAAUCUGUUCGUAUAAGUCGGUGGCAACCCAUACAGUAUAAUGUAAUGAUAUAGUUUAUGUAUUGUAAUAUAAAAAUAUGAAACAAUAAAAAUUAAGGUUUAGUCGGAU
rnacentral:lncRNA from 1 species